UGAUGACCCACUUUGAGAGUAGAGGCUAUGGGACAGAUAUGUUGGAAACAGCCAGGGAGAAAGUAAAAGAUGGACCAGAGGUUAAAACCAUGGGUGGCGGAACCUCCAAUGAUGGCCUAUAAAAGAUCAAGCAACCUGAGGGACCAUCUGGUCCAUGCGUUAAUUGAACCACAAAAGAAGCAAGAUCAUAUAAGAAAUGAGUGAUGGAUUAUCCAUUGAAUUUUUGUGUCCUCCUAUUAACCUCACCAAAGGUUUUUUUUU